GUCAAGUCAUCAUGCCCCUUAUGUCCAGGGCUUCACACAUGCUACAAUGGCCCGUACAGAGGGUUGCCAAGCCGUGAGGCGGAGCGAAUCCCUUAAAGCGGGUCUCAGUUCGGAUCGGGGUCUGCAACUCGACCCCGUGAAGCCGGAGUCGCUAGUAAUCGCGGAUCAGCAACGCCGCGGUGAAUACGUUCCCGGGCCUU
rnacentral:rRNA from 1 species